rnacentral:lncRNA from 1 species
AUGUCACCUCCAUUCUACUUCAUGAUGUCCCCAUGUGUCACCUCUUGUUCCCCUUUGUGUUGUCCCCUCAUGUCACCUCCAUUCCUCACGAUGUCCCCUCGUGUCACCUCUGCUCCCCUUUGUGUUGUCCCCUCAUGUCACCUCCAUUCUCCUUGGUGUCAUCCGCAAGUGUCACCUCCCUUCCUUCUCCCUUGUAUUGUCCCCUUGUGUCACCUCUGCUCCCCUUUGUGUUGUCCCCCCAUGUCACCUCCCUUCUCCUUCAUGGUGUCCCCUCAUGUCACCUCCAUUCCUCACGAUGUCCCUUCAUGUCACCUCCAUUCUCUUUCCUGUCAUCCCCAAGUGUCACCUUCCUUGUCCCUUGUAUUGUCCCCUCAUGUCACCUCCCUUCUCCUUCAUGUUGUCUCCCCAUGUCACCACCAUUCUCCUUUGUGAUGUCCCCAUGUGUCACCUCUUGUUCCCCUUUCAUGAUGUCCCCCCAUGUCACCUCCAUUCUUCACAAUGUCCCCUCGUGUCACCUCUGCUCCCUUUCAUGUUGUCCACCCACGUCACCUCCAUUCCUCCUGCCAUCCCCCCCUGUCACCUCCCCCCUCCUGUCACUGCGUGACCCCCCGAUGUCCCCUCCUGACCCCCCGAUGUCCCCACAGUGCAGUGUUACAACGGUGGCACCUACGAUGGCAUCAAAUGCCUCUGCCUCUCCAGCUUCUAUGGGCCGCAGUGCGAGUUCCCCGCCGACGUCAUCGACACCUCUGUCCCGUCCUCUGGUACCACCGUGGCUCUGGCGGAGCUGAAGGUCACCGUCACCAACUUCAACUACAGCGAGGAGCUGAAGGACCAACAGUCGGAAAUGUUCCGCAUGUUUGGGGAGCACUUCCAGAAUGAGGUGAGAACCAUUCCUCGGGUGGGAGGAGGUUGGGGGGGGUCACUUCCGGUUUUGGGGGUGUCGCUUCCGGUGGUUGGGGUGCCACUUCCUGUCGUUGGGGUCUCACUUCCACUGGCUGGGGUGUCACUUCUGGUUUUUGGGGUGUCAUUUCCAUUGGUCGGGGUGCCACUUCCGGUGGUUGGGGUGCCACUUCCUGUCGUUGGGGUGUCACUUCCGGCGGUUGGGGGGGUCUCACUUCCACCAUCUGGGGUGACACUUCCGAUUUUUGGGGUGUCAUUUCCAUUGUUUCGGGUGCCACUUCCGGAUUUGGGCUGCCACUUCCUGUUGUUGGGACGCCACUUCCGAUUUUGGGGUGCCACUUCCGGUUGGGGGGGGGGGGGGGGGGGGGCGUCGCUUCGAUCGGUCGAGGUCUCAACCUCCAUCAUUCGGGCGCCGCUUCCAGCCGUUGAGGAGUCCCUUUCCGGUGGCUGAGGCCCCACUUCCGGUUUUGGCGGGGGGGUCGGGGUGCCACUUCCGGUGGUGGGGGCGUCACUUCCGGUUUCAGUUUCGUUUCUGUCCGUGGUUCCGCAGAUCAGGAAAAUCUACGGCAGCGUCCCCAGCUACCAGGGGGUGAAGAUCAUCGACAUCAAGUGCGGAUGUGGGGUGGGGGCUGCGGGUCGGGGGCGGGGUUUGGGGUCGCUUUGGGUU